rnacentral:rRNA from 1 species
AUUGAACGCUGGCGGCAGGCCUAACACAUGCAAGUCGAGCGGAUGAAGGGAGCUUGCUCCUGGAUUCAGCGGCGGACGGGUGAGUAAUGCCUAGGAAUCUGCCUGGUAGUGGGGGAUAACGUCCGGAAACGGGCGCUAAUACCGCAUACGUCCUUAGGGUGAAAGUCGUGGUUCUUCGGACCUCACGCUAUCAGAUGAGCCUAGGUCGGAUUAGCUAGUUGGUAGGGUAAAGGCCUACCAAGACGGCAAUCCGUAACUGGUCUGAGAGGCUGACCAGUCACACUGGAACUGAGACACGGUCCAGACUCCUACGGGAGGCAGCAUAGGGAAUCAUCGGAAAAGGGGCGAAACCUUGCGGAAGAACGGCGCGGUGGGUGAAGAAGUUCUCCGGACUGAAAAGUACUUUAAGUUGGGAGGACGGGUAGUAAGUUAACUCUUCACUGUUUGACCGUAACUAAUAGAAAAAGCACGGGCAAAUAUCGG